CUUAAAUUGAAGAGUUUGAUCAUGGCUCAGAUUGAACGCUGGCGGCAGGCCUAACACAUGCAAGUCGAGCGGUAGCACGGGGGAGCUUGCUCCCUGGGUGACGAGCGGCGGACGGGUGAGUAAUGUCUGGGAAACUGCCUGAUGGAGGGGGAUAACUACUGGAAACGGUAGCUAAUACCGCAUAACCUCGCAAGAGCAAAGAGGGGGACCUUCGGGCCUCUCGCCAUCAGAUGUGCCCAGAUGGGAUUAGCUAGUAGGUGAGGUAAUGGCUCACCUAGGCGACGAUCCCUAGCUGGUCUGAGAGGAUGACCAGCCACACUGGAACUGAGACACGGUCCAGACUCCUACGGGAGGCAGCAGUGGGGAAUAUUGCACAAUGGGCGCAAGCCUGAUGCAGCCAUGCCGCGUGUGUGAAGAAGGCCUUCGGGUUGUAAAGCACUUUCAGCGGGGAGGAAGGCGGUAAGGUUAAUAACCUUAUCGAUUGACGUUACCCGCAGAAGAAGCACCGGCUAACUCCGUGCCAGCAGCCGCGGUAAUACGGAGGGUGCAAGCGUUAAUCGGAAUGACUGGGCGUAAAGCGCACGCAGGCGGUCUGUUAAGUUGGAUGUGAAAUCCCCGGGCUUAACCUGGGAACUGCAUUCAAAACUGACAGGCUAGAGUCUUGUAGAGGGGGGUAGAAUUCCAGGUGUAGCGGUGAAAUGCGUAGAGAUCUGGAGGAAUACCGGUGGCGAAGGCGGCCCCCUGGACAAAGACUGACGCUCAGGUGCGAAAGCGUGGGGAGCAAACAGGAUUAGAUACCCUGGUAGUCCACGCUGUAAACGAUGUCGAUUUGGAGGUUGUGCCCUUGAGGCGUGGCUUCCGGAGCUAACGCGUUAAAUCGACCGCCUGGGGAGUACGGCCGCAAGGUUAAAACUCAAAUGAAUUGACGGGGGCCCGCACAAGCGGUGGAGCAUGUGGUUUAAUUCGAUGCAACGCGAAGAACCUUACCUACUCUUGACAUCCAGAGAACUUAGCAGAGAUGCUUUGGUGCCUUCGGGAACUCUGAGACAGGUGCUGCAUGGCUGUCGUCAGCUCGUGUUGUGAAAUGUUGGGUUAAGUCCCGCAACGAGCGCAACCCUUAUCCUUUGUUGCCAGCGAUUCGGUCGGGAACUCAAAGGAGACUGCCGGUGAUAAACCGGAGGAAGGUGGGGAUGACGUCAAGUCAUCAUGGCCCUUACGAGUAGGGCUACACACGUGCUACAAUGGCGUAUACAAAGAGAAGCGACCUCGCGAGAGCAAGCGGACCUCAUAAAGUACGUCGUAGUCCGGAUUGGAGUCUGCAACUCGACUCCAUGAAGUCGGAAUCGCUAGUAAUCGUAGAUCAGAAUGCUACGGUGAAUACGUUCCCGGGCCUUGUACACACCGCCCGUCACACCAUGGGAGUGGGUUGCAAAAGAAGUAGGUAGCUUAACCUUCGGGAGGGCGCUUACCACUUUGUGAUUCAUGACUGGGGUGAAGUCGUAACAAGGUAACCGUAGGGGAACCUGCGGUUGGAUCACCUCCUUACCAAGAAG
rnacentral:rRNA from 1 species